rnacentral:rRNA from 1 species
CCUACGGGAGGCAGCAGUGAGGAAUAUUGGUCAAUGGACGCAAGUCUGAACCAGCCAUGCCGCGUGCAGGAAGACGGCUCUAUGAGUUGUAAACUGCUUUUGUACGAGGGUAAACGCAGAUACGCGUAUCUGUCUGAAAGUAUCGUACGAAUAAGGAUCGGCUAACUCCGUGCCAGCAGCCGCGGUAAUACGGAGGAUUCAAGCGUUAUCCGGAUUUAAUGGGUUUAAAGGGUGCGUAGGCGGUCGGAUAAGUUAGAGGUGAAAUCCCGAGGCUCAACUUCGGAAUUGCCUCUGAUACUGUUCGGCUAGAGAGUAGGUGCGGUAGGCGGAAUGUAUGGUGUAGCGGUGAAAUGCUUAGAGAUCAUACAGAACACCGAUUGCGAAGGCAGCUUACCAAGCUACUUCUGACGUUGAGGCACGAAAGCGUGGGGAGCAAACAGGAUUAGAUACCCUGGUAGUC